UUUCCGUAGGUGAACCUGCGGAAGGAUCAUUAUUGUAUAACAGAGGUGCGAGGGCUGUCGCUGACCCGAAAGGUCGUGCACGCCCGUGUGCCCUCACACACAUCCAUCUCACCCCUAUGUGCACCACCGCGUGGGUCCCCCUUUGGCUUGUUCGGAGGGGGGUUUACGUUUUCACACGAACUUUGUAUGCAGUGUAGAAUGUAUUUUUUGUUUUUGCGAUCACGCAAUCAAUACAACUUUCAACAACGGAUCUCUUGGCUCUC
rnacentral:misc_RNA from 1 species